CGCGACGGCAACGCAACGGUUGCCGAAAUCAAGCUUUCGACGACACAAGCGAGCUUGGACCGGGCCUUAAACUUGGCCCAACAAAUCUUAGCCCAACUGAGAUUUGUUCUUGCUUUUGGGCUGGACCCAAGUUAGACUGGGCCUGAUGAAGAUGGGCUGGCUUCUUGGGCUCGAGAUGGGCUAGACUAAGCUUGGGCUUCAAAUUGCUGGAUUGAGCUUGGCCAAUUAAGUUACGUGGACUGGACUGGGCUGUAGUUGAAGACCAUGGUUUCAAUGGGUUGGGCUGAGCAAGUUGCUGGCCUGGGUUGCACGUUGAAUUGAAGACUGCUGGACCGGAUUUUGCUGGGCUUGAAUGAUUAAAAGCGAUAGGCUGAAGACACACCGCUGGAGUUGGGCCGACUGGAGUGGCCGGCUUUGCUGGCUGAACGGACGAGGAAAGUAGCUUCGCUGGUGUCUUCGAGGGGCGUCAUUGUAGGAGGACGCCGAAGCAGCGAAGAAACGUGGCACCUCCGAAGAUGAUGGAGCGAAUGGGCUGGUUUCACUCAGUGGUCAACAAAGUGGAAAGAAUUUGCUAUUGUUGACCGUGAAGUUGCAGGCUGUGGACGCGUGGAUGCAGAAGGCAGUGGAGUCUUCGUUCGGCGUUGCUUCGUUGGCUUUGGGACCGAAGUUGAAGAAGCGAGGAUUGAAGCUCGCUCGAUGGUCUUCCACACCGGUUUGUUGACCAGACACGGUGCAGACGCGGCCAAGUGGCAGCGUGAAGGAACUCGGCAGAGGCGUGCGUUGGAGAGUUGGAGGAAUUCUGUGGGUUUUCGGUGGGAUGGCAGAAUGAACAAAAUUGAAGUAGCUGCUGGUGUGAGGUGAGCAGUGAAGAUGGAGUCAAUGUAGUGAGCGUAAAGUUGAGAAUUUUGACUCAAACGUGGCAGCUUCGGUGGGAUUUUGGGCAGUUUGCUAGCGUCGUGGGGUCUUCGGUUGUCGAGAAUGAACGAAAAUGAAAGUACAGGGAGAUGAAAUGAAACAGGGCAGCGAAAUGGGAGCUCGGCCGAAGAAGAAAAUGAAAGAAGAUGAAACUGCAAGGAAUGGGCAGAGACGUGCGAAGCUUGUUCGAGAAGUUGAGGGGAAGAAAGUCCGACUAAAAU
rnacentral:lncRNA from 1 species